CAUGAGGGCACAGGGCAACGUCUAUCAUCUUAAGUGUUUUACAUGCUCUACCUGCCGGAAUCGCCUGGUCCCCGGAGAUCGGUUUCACUACAUCAAUGGCAGUUUAUUUUGUGAACAUGAUAGACCUACAGCUCUCAUCAAUGGCCAUUUGAAUUCACUUCAGAGUAAUCCACUACUGCCAGACCAGAAGGUCUGCUAAAAGGUCAGAGUAAUGCAGAAUGCGUGCCUUCAUCUCAAAUUUUGUUCAUCACAGAUGGAUCCCAUGUCUCCAAGUAGACAAGUCACCUUUGUAGCUAGCAUCAAUGCCAGCUCCAUACCAUUGCACCUUCUUUAUUCUUGAUUGCCCUUCCCACAUUUAUUGGUGUAUUAAAAUGACUGAAUAUGAACAUUAAGGACUCCAUGAACCUGGGCUAAUGGGAGACUGUAGAGAAAAUGAAAAAAGAUCCACCGGAGGACAUCUUGGGGGGGGGCGUGUGGGGAAGAUGACUAAUGAAGCUAAUUAAAAGAAGCAUUGAAAUCUGCUUUCUACCCUCAUUAACAAUUAGCAGGGCACUGGCCAGUUUGUACCCUGUGUUUUACCUUAACAACAUUCUAUUUGCUCUUUGUAUAUUUAAGUGUUGUAAGGAAAUGUGUUUCAAUCAAACUGAACAUGAGAUAAAGAUGUGGCUUUUGUGAUAUUCUAUCACAAACACUUUUAUUGUAUCUCUGUAAAAUACAAUGUAUGUAUGCAUGUAAGUGUUUUUGUCCUAAUGUUGCUACUUCCCAUGGCAAAAAAAAAAAAGAAAAAAAGAAAAAAAAAGUCAGGCUCAUAGCAGCUACUGUGUAGAAAUUUUCACCUACUUCUAAUUUGCUGAAUGAAGAAAAAUCUUUUAUUUGUGAUAUUUUCAGAGACAUUUGCUCUAGUAUGGUGUAUUUAAAUAAUAAAAAAGUAAAACAAACAACACUGAAUUGAGUAUGGGUUUUAGAAGCUUUGCUUUUUUUUUUUUUUAAACUACAUUAAAAACAUUAUUCUGAAAC